rnacentral:tRNA from 3 species
GCCCGAGUGGCGGAAUUGGUAGACGCGUUGGUCUCAAAAACCAAUGAGAUUUUCUCGUGCCGGUUCGAUUCCGGCCUCGGGUACCA